AUUGAACGCUGGCGGCAUGCUUUACACAUGCAAGUCGAACGGCAACAGGCCGCAAGGUGCUGACGAGUGGCGAACGGGUGAGUAAUGCAUCGGAACGUGCCCAGUCGUGGGGGAUAACGCAGCGAAAGCUGCGCCAAUACCGCAUACGAUCUGUGGAUGAAAGCGGGGGACCGUAAGGCCUCGCGCGAUUGGAGCGGCCGAUGUCAGAUUAGGUAGUUGGUGGGGUAAAGGCGCACCAAGCCAACGAUCUGUAGCUGGUCUGAGAGGACGACCAGCCGCGCUGGGACUGAGAGACGGCCCAGACUCCUACGGGAGGCAGCAGUGGGGAAUUUUGGACAAUGGGGGCAAGCCUGAUCCAGCAAUGCCGCGUGCAGGAAGAAGGCCUUCGGGUUGUAAACUGCUUUUGUACGGAACGAAAAGGCUCUGGAUAAUACCUGGGGCUCAUGACGGUACCGUAAGAAUAAGCACCGGCUAACUACGUGCCAGCCGCCGCAGUAACAC
rnacentral:rRNA from 1 species